UGGACCAACCAAUUGUAGAAU
rnacentral:miRNA from 1 species